AGAGGAGAAGGUGUUGGAAGAGGGGGAGAUGGUGGGAGUGAGGAGGGGUGAAAAGAGAAAAGAGAGGUUAGAUAGAGACCUAGCUUGAAGAGAAAUCGAAGAAGUUAGGUGAUAUAAACAAGUAUAGUAGAUGGACAACUGAGAUAGAGAGGGGUUGGAUGUGGAGGAACCUGGGCUAUUAGAUGUGGAGAGGGGGUUGGGAUGGUUUGCCAUUGAGCAAAUCAUUACCAAACAGGGCCU
rnacentral:lncRNA from 1 species